GUCAAUUUGUUAGUUAAAUACGCCAAAUAGAUAAAACAAUUCUAAAAAAAUUAAAGUUUUCUUGUUGUUUUUCGAUUGUAGCAAGAUUUCUAGUAGACUAAUUGUUUACAGACACAAUAAUAAAAGCACAGUAUAUCCAAUACUUUCCCCGGUGCGCUCGAAAUCUAAAAUUCACACCUGUAAUUGUAUUAACAUUAUAAUAGAAUUCUUAUAUAUAUAUAAGAAUUAAUUUUAUCCGACAUACAAAUGACUUCCAUGGACGUGUG